rnacentral:lncRNA from 1 species
GCCAACGUGGGCCCGAACAAUGGGCCUUUGUGCCCGGCGUGGGCGCGUUGUCAAGGUGCGCAGCCCUGGCCCUGGGCCCUGGCCUCGGCCUCCAUGAGGGCAGAGGGGCCAGGCCAGGGGGUCUGCGGGGGCCGGGAAACCCAGCAGAAGAGAGAGCAAGUCUGAGAUUCUCACAAUGAACGAAGGCCAAGGCACAGGGGGCUCAGCCCAACAUCCCCCGCCCAUCUCUGGGAGGACCCCCAGAUGGCAUCAGCCACAACAUUGCUCGGAAAAUGUCUCCCGUCCACAGGUCCCUCCUGACCAGCUCUUCUCCCCAACAAGAUCGUGUGCCCCUUGGGAAGCCACCUGGUCAGCAUUUUCACAGAUGCUUGCAAAGCUCCUAUGGCCAGGUGGAAAUGAGGACAAAGACCCUGAGAGACAGGAAGAAGGAGACCGAGACAGAGGAAGCGGGCGGUGGCGGAACAGAGAGAAAUAAGCGGAUAUGAAGAGACAACAGGGCUGGAGAGACACGGGGAGAGUGACAGUGACAGAGAUGGAGAGAGCAGAAACCAAAACUCAGACAGAUCUGACUCCCGCAUCGCCUUCCGUAACGUGAGCCUCCAUAACCAUCAAAAUCACAGGGUUGGGUGAGCAUUUGCUAAGUGCGGACACUGUGCUAAACGCUUUUCUGUGAACGAUCAUGCUUGAUUCUCACAACCUCCCUGUGAGAGGAGGGAUCCUCUCAUUCCUUGUUUUAAAGAUGAGAAAACCGAGGCACAGAGAGGUUGGCCGGCUUGCAUUCCAUCACACAGCCAGCAGGCGGUGAAGCCAGGUGUGACCUCAGGCCCGCCCCAGACCCAAGGCUGAGCCAUUCUCUCCAGUCUUGGAGUGUCUAGGUUUGUUUUAGGGCAGCUCUUCUCAUUUUCAGCUGUGCUGGUGAAUCCCUUGCAGACUUGUAAAAAUGUCCAUCCUAGGCUGGGCGCUGUGGCUCAUGCCUGUAAUCCCAGCACUUUGGUUGGGAGGCUGAGGCAGGUGGAUCACUUGAGAUCAGGAGUUUGAGACCAGCCUGGCCAACAUGGCGAAACCUGUCUCUACUAAAAAUACAAAAAUUAGCCAGGGAUGGUGACGUGCACGUGUAAUCUCAGUUACUCGGGAGGCUGAGGCAGGAGAGUUGCUUGAACCAGGAGGCAGAGGUUG